AUGGAAUUGAGGUUACGUCAUAUUAUCCAUUUUUAUCAUGUCUUUCUUGAAAAUGAUGGAAAGAAAAAUUGUGCUCAAUUGAUAGAAGAAGAAUUCAAUAAAAUGUUUGGCAUAAAAACCUUGAAUGAUGAGCAUGAUUCCAAUGUUGCUAGUAUGAAUUCUUUGAAUAUCCAUGAUGCUAGUGAUAUGCAAAGCCAUAAACUUGGGGAUGCUAUGUUUGAUGAAGAUGAUAUUUUUAGUCCCCCAAGAUUUGAUGUGCAAAUUUUUAUAAUGAUUGCAUGCCUCAUAUUUAUGAUGAUUAUUUUGAUGAUAUGUAUGCCAUAA
rnacentral:rRNA from 1 species